CCCUACGGCCUACAUAAUCACAUUCAUGUAGUUCAUAGUACAUAUCUAAUUUAUUGUAUUAUUGAAAUGGCACUGGAAACUUUUGCAGUUAAAUAUAUGUAGGAUAUAGGUGAUAUAACUGAUCAAGUAUUUGAAAUUGAUUUGUUAUAAAAUAUAAAUUUGUAUUAUUUUCUUUACGUAUUGUAAUAAUGGUAAAAUUUUUUGAAAAUAAAAGUUUAUUCCCAUUCAGAUGGGAUCAAGUUGUUCAUGGUUUUUGGCAUCGUUAUCCUAACCCAGAAAGCAAGCAUGUAUUAUCCGAGGAUGUGUUACAUAGAGAAGUGAAAGAAAAAAAAUUACAUUCUAUUAGGUUAUUCACAAAAACUAACAAGUUACCAAAAUGGGGUGAACGUUUUAUAAAUACUAAUGUUGUAAAAAUUGUUGAAGAAUCAAUUUUAGAUCCUUCAAAAAAGACAUUGGUAACAUAUACAAGAAAUGUUGGAUAUGCAAGUGUUAUGGGUGUGACAGAAAAAGUUGUUUAUAAAGUCAAUGAAGAAAAUCCAAGUACUACAGUGGCAGAGAGAUCAGUGUGGAUUGAAUCAAAUGUGUAUGGAAUGUCUAAAGCUAUUCAAGCAUUUGGAAUGCAACGAUUUAAAGUUAACAGUACUAAAGCAGUAAAAGGAUUUAAUUAUGUACUCAAUAGUAUGUAUGGUAGUAAUACUUCAAGUUCAUCUGGUGUAUUAUUACAUCAGAAAGAAAAAUUAAAGGAUGCUCUUAAACAAACAAAUUACAAAACUGGAACUCUUUAUGUUCAUUAAACCAAUUCCUAUUUGAGAUUUCACCAAACUUAUUAAGAUCAAUAAAAUGUGAUAACAUAAUUAUGUAUUCUUAUCAGUUCAACAAUUUUAACCAGAUUAAAAUACUCUUCAAUCUUAUGUGGUUACUGUCAACAAUAGUAUUUUAUUAGAAUACAAUAUAAUUAUUUUAAAUAAGAGAUCUUUGUUUGUCUUGAUUAAAUUGUCCAUUUAAUUUAUACAAUAUUAAAUUUGUUAUCCAAUAAUUUGUAUAAGUGAUUUAAUUUUUAUUUCAUUAUAAUUUUAUAAGAAAUUACUGAUAUCAUUAUAAUAUUAUAUAGAUGAAUAAAAUGUCUUCUAUGUUAAAUUUUUUAAUAUUGAACACAUUAUUAUGUAAUAACUGUUUAUUGUUUUAUUAUACAAUUUGAAUAUGAUAUAUCUAUUGUACAACAUGUUUGGUGGUGGUACAAUUUUUCUAAUUUGUCAAUAUAAUUAAUUUAUUAAAAGAUA